AAGAUCGCCGACUCCAAGACGGGAAUAUCGGCAGAGAUCUCGCUCGAGAUCCAAACACGCGGAGCCUAAGAGAUCAAAAAGUCCGGCUAAAAGGACCAAACCAAGUCCUCAGUAUGAGAGUAAUGCUGAUAAAAAAGUUAUCGUCUCCCUAACACCACCAUUAAUACGAAAGCCUACUGUAUCAGAAAGCUCCGAAUCGUCCACUAGCAGUAGUUCAUCGUCUUCAUCAAGCAGUAGUUCUUCAGAGGAGUCAGUCAAGUCGCGCGUCUCCAGUACAUCCUUCAGGAAAGACAAGACGUUCAACAAUUACAGAACAUAUAGUUCUGAAGAUGGGGAGAACAGCACGCCAGUAGAAGAACGUCGUAUAGUGUUCGUGGGCAAGUUAGAGAAGGAUUUAAGCAAAGCCGCGCUACGAGCCUUG